GUGAGGCGAGGCCGCGCAGGAAGAGCGGGGAACCCGGGGAGCGCGAGGAGGGCGGAGCCACGCAGGAAGGGCAGGGCAUGAGUUGAGCCUAAAGCGCGAGGUCAAUAUCCAACACAGCCUACCUACCCUGUGCAGCCUCCUGGGAAUCCAGUAUAUCCUCAGACCUUACAUCUUCCUCAGGCUCCACCCUAUACUGAUGCUCCACCUGCAUACUCAGAGCUCUAUCGUCCAAGCUUUGUUCAUCCAGGGGCUGCCACAGUCCCCACCAUGUCAGCUGCAUUUCCUGGCGCCUCGUUGUAUCUGCCUAUGGCCCAGUCUGUGGCUGUUGGGCCUUUAGGCUCCACGAUCCCCAUGGCUUAUUACCCAGUUGGUCCCAUCUAUCCACCUGGCUCGGCAGUGCUGGUGGAAGGAGGGUACGAUGCAGGUGCCAGAUUUGGAGCUGGUGCCACCACUGGCAGCAUUCCUCCUCCACCUCCUGGAUGCCCUCCCAACGCUGCUCAGCUUGCAGUCAUGCAGGGAGCCAACGUCCUUGUAACUCAACGCAAGGGAAACUUCUUCAUGGGUGGCUCAGAUGGUGGCUACACUAUUUGGUGAGGAGCUGUGGCCACUCCUGUGCCGGGGAAGACAUCACAUACUUCAGCACUUCUCACAAUGUAACUGCUUUAGUCAUAUUAACCUGAAGUUGCCGUUUAGACACAUGUUUUUGGGGUGUCUUUCUGGUGUCCAAACUUUGAGG
rnacentral:lncRNA from 1 species